AAUUAAUGAUCUUGUUAAAGAUUAUGUUUUGAAAACAUACUAAAGAAAUCUCAUUUUUCUAUUAAUUUUUUUCAUAAAUUAAAUAAUAAUUAUAAAUAUAA
rnacentral:tRNA from 1 species